rnacentral:rRNA from 1 species
AACGAACGCUGGCGGCAUGCCUAACACAUGCAAGUCGAACGGACGGUAGCAAUACCGUUAGUGGCGGACGGGUGAGUAACGCGUGGGAACCUGCCUCGAAGUUCGGAAUAACCGCGGGAAACUGCGGCUAAUACCGGAUGUGGCCUGAGGGUCAAAGGCGCAAGUCGCUUCGAGAGGGGCCCGCGUCCGAUUAGCUAGUUGGUGGGGUAACGGCCGUACCAAGGCGACGAUCGGUAGCUGGUCUGAGAGGAUGAUCAGCCACACUGGGACUGAGACACGGCCCAGACUCCUACGGGAGGCAGCAGUGGGGAAUAUUGGACAAUGGGGAAACCCUGAUCCAGCAAUGCCGCGUGGGUGAUGAAGGCCUUCGGUUGUAAGUACC